GACGAACGCUGGCGGCGUGCUUAACACAUGCAAGUCGAACGGUAAUGCCUUUUCGGGGGUACUCGCGUGGCUAACGGGUGAGUAACACGUGGGUGAUGUGCCCUGCACUCUGGGAUAAGACUGGGGAACUGGGUCUAAUACCGGAUAGGACCGCACUUUAGUGUGUGUGUUUGAAAGUUUGUUCGGUGUUGGAUGGGCCCGCGGCCUAUCAGCUUGUUGGUGGGGUAAUGGCCCACCAAGGCGGCGAGGGGUAGCCGGACUGAGAGGUUGGUCGGCCACAUGGGGCCUGAGAUACGGCCCAGAAGCCUACGGGAGGCAGCAGUGGGGAAUAUUGCCGAAUGGGCGCAAGCGUGAUGCAGCGACGCCGCGUGGGGGAUGACGGCCUGCGGGUUGUAAACUCCUUUCGCCAGGGACGAAGCGUUUUGUGACGGAACUAGGAGAAGAGGCACCGGCGAGCUCCGU
rnacentral:rRNA from 1 species